GAUGAACGCUGGCGGCGUGCCUAAUACAUGCAAGUCGAACGAGUUCUCCCUAAAUCUUUUGAUGCUUGCAUUAAAAGAUUUAGGAUUCGGAACGAGUGGCGAACUGGUGAGUAACACGUGGGUAACCUGCCCUGAAGUGGGGGAUAACAUUUGGAAACAAAUGCUAAUACCGCAUAAUUAGUUGAAACCACAUGGUUUCAACUUGAAAAGAUGGCUCUGCUAUCACUUUAGGAUGGACCCGCGGCGUAUUAGCUAGUUGGUGAGAUAAUAGCCCACCAAGGCGAUGAUACCGUAGCCGACCUGAGAGGGUAAUCGGCCACAUUGGGACUGAGACACGGCCCAGACUCUACGGGAGGCA
rnacentral:rRNA from 1 species